UACGUAGGGUGCGAGCGUUGUCCGGAAUUAUUGGGCGUAAAGGGCGCGUAGGCGGUGCGGUAAGUCACCUGUGAAAUCUCCUGGCUCAACUGGGAGCUUGCAGGCGAAACUGCCGUGCUGGAGUGUGGGAGAGGUGCGUGGAAUUCCUGGUGUAGCGGUGAAAUGCGUAGAUACCAGGAGGAACACCUGUGGCGAAAGCGGCGCACUGGACCACAACUGACGCUGAGGUGCGAAAGCGUGGGGAGCAAACAGG
rnacentral:rRNA from 1 species